rnacentral:tRNA from 1 species
GCCGGGGUGGCAGAGUGGCAAAACGUAAUGGGCCAACGCGCCGGACUCGAGAUCCGGUUCUCCGAAAGGAGAGCAGGGGUUCAAAUCCCCUCCCCGGCG